UACGUAGGGUGCGAGCGUUAAUCGGAAUUACUGGGCGUAAAGCGUGCGCAGGCGGUUUUGUAAGCCAGAUGUGAAAGCCCCGGGCUCAACCUGGGAAUGGCAUUUGGGACUGCAAGGCUGGAGUUUGGCAGAGGAGACUGGAAUUCCUGGUGUAGCAGUGAAAUGCGUAGAUAUCAGGAGGAAUACCGAUGGCGAAGGCAGGUCUCUGGGCUAUAACUGACGCUCAUGCACGAAAGCGUGGGGAGUAAACAGG
rnacentral:rRNA from 1 species